UGGGUUGUUCUGAACAGAAUGAGUCUGUUAGCUGUACAGUUACAAGAUGACAUGGUCAUACCCUGGGUUGUUCUGAACAGAAUGAGUCUGUUAGCUGUACAGUUACAAGAUGACAUGGUCAUACCCUGGGUUGUUCUGAACAGAAUGAGCCUGUUAGAUGUACAGUUACAAGAUGACAUGUCAUACCCUGGGUUGUUCUGAACAGAAUGAGUCUGUUAGCUGUACAGUUACAAGAUGACAUGGUCAUACCCUGGGUUGUUCUGAACAGAAUGAGUCUGUUAGCUGUACAGUUACAAGAUGACAUGGUCAUACCCUGGGUUGUUCUGAACAGAAUGAGCCUGUUAGCUGUACAGUUACAAGAUGACAUGGUCAUACCCUGGGUUGUUCUGAACAGAAUGAGCCUGUUAGCUGUACAGUUACAAGAUGACAUGGUGUCAUACCCUGGGUUGUUCUGAACAGAAUGAGCCUGUUAGCUGUACAGUUACAAGAUGACAUGGUGUCAUACCCUGGGUUGUUCUGAACAGAAUGAGUCUGUUAGCUGUACAUUUACAAGAUGACAUGGUGUCAUACCCUGGGUUGUUCUGAACAGAAUGAGUCUGUUAGCUGUACAGUUACAAGAUGACAUGUCGUCAUACCCUGGGUUGUUCUGAAUAGAAUGAGUCUGUUAGUUGUACAGUUACAAGAUGACAUGGUCAUACCCUGGGUUGUCCUGAACAGAAUGAGUCUGUUAGUUGUGCAGUUACAAGAUGACAUGGUGUCAUACCCUGGGUUGUUCUGAACAGAAUGAGCCUGUUAGAUGUACAGUUACAAGAUGACAUAGUCAUACCCUGGGUUGUUCUGAACAGAAUGAGCCUGUUAGCUGUACAGUUACAAGAUGACAUGGUCAUACCCUGGGUUGUUCUGAACAGAAUGAGCCUGUUAGAUGUACAGUUACAAGAUGACAUGUCGUCAUACCCUGGGUUGUUCUGAACAGAAUGAGCCUGUUAGCUGUACAGUUACAAGAUGACAUGUCAUACCCUGGGUUGUUCUGAACAGAAUGAGUCUGUUAGUUGUACAGUUACAAGAUGACAUGUCAUACCCUGGGUUGUUCUGAACAGAAUGAGCCUGUUAGUUGUACAGUUACAAGAUGACAUGUCGUCAUACCCUGGGUUGUUCUGAAUAGAAUGAGUCUGUUAGUUGUACAGUUACAAGAUGACAUGUCGUCAUACCCUGGGUUGUUCUGAACAGAAUGAGUCUGUUAGUUGUACAGUUACAAGAUGACAUGUCAUACACUGGGUUGUUCUGAACAGAAUGAGUCUGUUAGCUGUACAGUUACAAGAUGACAUGGUCAUACCCUGGGUUGUUCUGAACAGAAUGAGUCUGUUAGUUGUACAGUUACAAGAUGACAUGUCGUCAUACCCUGGGUUGUUCUGAACAGAAUGAGCCUGUUAGUUGUACAGUUACAAGAUGACAUGUCGUCAUACCCUGGGUUGUUCUGAACAGAAUGAGUCUGUUAGUUGUACAGUUACAAGAUGACAUGUCGUCAUACCCUGGGUUGUUCUGAACAGAAUGAGUCUGUUAGUUGUACAGUUACAUGAUGACAUGUCGUCAUACCCUGGGUUGUUCUGAACAGAAUGAGUCUGUUAGUUGUACAGUUACAAGAUGACAUGUCGUCAUACCCUGGGUUGUUCUGAACAGAAUGAGUCUGUUAGUUGUACAGUUACAAGAUGAUAUGUCAUACCCUGGGUUGUUCUGAACAGAAUGAGUCUGUUAGCUGUACAGUUACAAGAUGACAUGGUCAUACCCUGGGUUGUUCUGAACAGAAUGAGCCUGUUAGAUGUACAGUUACAAGAUGACAUGGUCAUACCCUGGGUUGUUCUGAACAGAAUGAGCCUGUUAGAUGUACAGUUACAAGAUGACAUGGUCAUACCCUGGGUUGUUCUGAACAGAAUGAGCCUGUUAGAUGUACAGUUACAAGAUGACAUGUCGUCAUACCCUGGGUUGUUCUGAACAGAAUGAGCCUGUUAGCUGUACAGUUACAAGAUGACAUGUCAUACCCUGGGUUGUUCUGAACAGAAUGAGUCUGUUAGUUGUACAGUUACAAGAUGACAUGUCAUACCCUGGGUUGUUCUGAACAGAAUGAGCCUGUUAGUUGUACAGUUACAAGAUGACAUGUCGUCAUACCCUGGGUUGUUCUGAAUAGAAUGAGUCUGUUAGUUGUACAGUUACAAGAUGACAUGUCGUCAUACCCUGGGUUGUUCUGAACAGAAUGAGUCUGUUAGUUGUACAGUUACAAGAUGACAUGUCAUACACUGGGUUGUUCUGAACAGAAUGAGUCUGUUAGCUGUACAGUUACAAGAUGACAUGGUCAUACCCUGGGUUGUUCUGAACAGAAUGAGUCUGUUAGUUGUACAGUUACAAGAUGACAUGUCGUCAUACCCUGGGUUGUUCUGAACAGAAUGAGCCUGUUAGUUGUACAGUUACAAGAUGACAUGUCGUCAUACCCUGGGUUGUUCUGAACAGAAUGAGUCUGUUAGUUGUACAGUUACAAGAUGACAUGUCGUCAUACCCUGGGUUGUUCUGAACAGAAUGAGUCUGUUAGUUGUACAGUUACAAGAUGACAUGUCAUACCCUGGGUUGUUCUGAACAGAAUGAGCAUGUUAGCUGUACAGUUACAAGAUGACAUGGUCAUACCCUGGGUUGUUCUGAACAGAAUGAGCCUGUUAGUUGUACAGUUACAAGAUGACAUGUCAUACCCUGGGUUGUCCUGAACAGAAUGAGCCUGUUAGAUGUACAGUUACAAGAUGACAUGUCAUACCCUGGAUGUUCUGAACAGAAUGAGCCUGUGUUUGUCUAUUGUGAAGGAAAUUUGCCACGAAACACGUACCAGAGUGGACUGAUGACUCCUUUCUAUCCGCUCCAAAAUGAUGAUCAAUUUCCCUGAAUUGCAUUGUGAAAGCCUGACACUGUACUAUCCUAUUUUAUAACUUAGCUAGUCAUGUUGGUAAUAGAACAGGCUUUCAAACGAUGCACACCUGACCCUGAUUUAUAAUGGACCGUUUCUGGAUUGCGUAAACAACAACAGUAAUUGUGUGAUGGCGGGGAUGCAAGGUUGUGUUCCAAACACCACAACUACAAGCGUACUUGCACUACAUCCUCAAUGGCACAGUUCAGAGAGCUCAAAAAAGUACCUUAUAGUUAGCUGAAGACUCUUCUUUGAGUCAUAGAAGUGCAUUGAAAUGACUUAGAGAACUGUGUACACUUUACAGAGGUGUGUGUCCACUUGGAGACACCAGUUAGUCCUCUCACUCAAACCCUUGUCAUUUUCUUUGUCUUAUGUUGCACCUACCACACAUUUUCCAGAAAUAUUCGUAUCAUGUUACUGAAUGUAUCCAGAGUAUUUUCUAAUUUCGUUAAACAAAUGCGGCAACAAGUACAGUAAAUGUAAAAUGCACAUAAAAUCGACAGUGUAAUGUUUGGAUUUAGUCUUGUGUCUGGUGAAUUGUUGUGUCCUCACCUUUAGUCUAGUAAUGUUCCUAUAAUCACCAAACUGUUCCCUUUCCAUUGCUACCAUGGUUAUGCAUACACUUUCAUAUUUCUUCUGUAAGAAACAUUUUAAACACACACACACUUCAAUUUAGCCUUAUCCAUAUACUGUAGGCCAGUUCCCACGAGUGUAAAGGGUUAAGAACAGUGGAGGCUGUUGAGGGGAGGACGGCUCAUAAUAAUGGCUGGAACAGACAAAUAGAAACCAGGUGUUUAAUGUAUUUGAUCCCAUUCCAGUCAUUCCUCUCCAGACAUUACCACAAGCCUGUCCUCCCCAACCAAGGUGCCACCAACCUCCUGUGCUUAAGACAACAAAAUCAAUCAGCUUUUUAUCUGACUCCUUCCAAUUUUUUAAAAACAGUGAAUUCCCUGAAGUGUGCAAAUUCUUCCCCUUCUCUGCCUACGCACGUUUUGUCAGACACUGGCAUCAUUACUGAAAAAAGUGUGAUACGGGAUGCUUUUAAUCAUUUUAUUUUGUCAGGCUAUUUAUUUGAGAGGAAUGGUGGUUUAAAUAACCUUGGUCAGUCAGUUUGUUGCUCUUCCCUCUCCCAGCCUCCAGCUGACUCCACGGUUAACCUCUCAACUACUGGUGAAUCAGUAUGUUCUGUCCGCACCACCCCCUGCUUGCUGAAUAAUUUACCCAUAUCUUUAACCUGAUUAUAUCUGGUACUAUCACCAAGGUUUGGAAGACGGCUCUGGUACUCCCCCUUCACAAAGGUGGUGAUCGAUGUGACCUACGCUGAACAAAAAUAUAAAUGUAAAGUGUUGGUCCUAUGUUUCAUGAGCUGAAAUAAAAGAUCACAGAAAUUUACCAAUCGCACAAAGACCUUAUUUCUCUCAAAUUCUAUGCACAAAUUGGUUUACAUCCCUGUUAGUGAGCAUUUAUCCUUUGCCAAGAUAAUCCAUCCACCUGAUAGGUGUGGCAUAUCAAGAAGCUGAUUAAACAGCAUGAUCAUUACACAGCUGUGCCUUGUGCUGGGGACAUAAAAGGCCACUCUAAAAUGUGCAGUUUUGACACACAACAUAAUACCAAAGAUCUCUCAAGUUUUGAGGGAGCGUGCGAUUGGCAUCCUGACCUCUGGAAUGUCCACCAGAGCUGUUGCCAGAAAAUUGAAUGUUUAUUGAAUGUUUAUUUCUCCACCAAGUUUUUUUAUGUUACAACACAGAACAGUCAAAUGCCUUUCUUGCAAAUUCAAAACCCAACAGUGCAAUAAUCAAAAACAAUGUAAUACUAGACAAAACACACAAGAAAUAAGAAUAAGUAAAUGAAAUACACAAUAAAGUAAGUAUACUAUAUACAGGAAAUAUUUAAAAAGUCAGAUCCAAUACCAUAUUUAAAUGUGCAGGGAUACUGGAGUGAUGGAGGUAGAUAUGUAUAGGGGUAAGGUGACAGGGAUACUGGAGUGAUAGAGGUAGAUAUGUAUAGAGGUAAGGUGACAGGGAUAUUGGAGUGAUGGAGGUAGAUAUGUAUAGGGGUAAGGAGACAGGGAUAUUGGAGUGAUGGAGGUAGAUAUGUAUAGGGGUAAGGUGACAGGGAUAUUGGAGUGAUGGAGGUAGAUAUGUAUAGGGGUAAGGAGACAGGGAUACUGGAGUGAUGGAGGUAGAUAUGUAUAGAGUUAAGGUGACAGGGAUACUGGAGUGAUGGAGGUAGAUAUGUAUAGGGGUAAGGUGACAGGGAUAUUGGAGUGAUGGAGGUAGAUAUGUAUAGGGGUAAGGUGACAGGGAUACUGGAGUGAUGGAGGUAGAUAUGUAUAGGGGUAAGGUGACAGGGAUACUGGAGUGAUGGAGGUAGAUAUGUAUAGGGGUAAGGUGACAGGGAUACUGGAGUGAUGGAGGUAGAUAUGUAUAGGGGUAAGGUGACAGGGAUACUGGAGGGAUGGAGGUAGAUAUGUAUAGGGGUAAGGUGACAGGGAUACUGGAGUGAUGGAGGUAGAUAUGUAUAGGGGUAAGGUGACAGGGAUACUGGAGUGAUGGAGGUAGAUAUGUAUAGGGGUAAGGUGACAGGGAUACUGGAGUGAUGGAGGUAGAUAUGUAGUGGGGUAAGGUGACAGGGAUACUGGAGUGAUGGAGGUAGAUAUGUAUAGAGGUAAGGUGACAGGGAUACUGGAGUGAUGGAGGUAGAUAUGUAUAGGCACAAGGUGACUAGGCAACAAGAUAUAAGAUAAACAGAGUAGCAACAGGUUGUAUGUGAGUGGGUGUGGGGGUGUGUAGAGUCAGUAUAAAUCUAUGUGCAUAUUAUGUGUGAAUGAGCAGAUGAUGGAGUAAGUGAGUGAGUGUAUGUGUGUUGGAGUGACAGUGUGUGAGUGUGUUAGUGUGCAUAGAGACAGUGCAAAAAUAAGUGCUCAAUAAAGAUACAAGGUUAACUCAGAUAGUCCAUGUAGCUAUUUUGUUAUCUAUUUAUCAGUCGUAUUGCUUGGGGAUAGAAGCUGUUCAGGAACCUGUUGGUGUCAGACUUGAUGUAUCGGUACCUCUUGCCGUGCGGCAGCAGAGAGAAUAGUCUAUAGGGUGGUUGGGUGGUUAGGGUUUUUGACGACUUUUCUGGGCCUUCUUUUCACAACGCCUGAUAUAGCGGUCCUGGAUGGUAGGGAGCUCGGCCCCAGUGAUGUACUGGGCUGUCCGCACCACCCUCUGUAGCGCCAUGCGAUCAAGGGUGGUGCUGUUGCCAUACCAAGCGGAGUUUGCAGCCAGUCAAUGCUCUCAAUUGUACAGCUGUAGAACCUUUUCAGGAUUUGAGGGCUCAUGGCAAACUUUUUAAACCUCCUGAGGGGAAAGAGGCAAUGUCCCGCCUUCUUCACGACUUCCCGACUGCAACGUCGUUUUAGACAAUUUGGCAGUACAUCCAGUACAGCCUCACAACCGCACACCACCUGUAAGGCAUCGUGUGGGCGAGCGGUUUGCUGAUGUCAACGUUGUGACAAAGUGCUCCAUAGUGGUGGUGGGGUGAUGGUAUGGGCAGGCAUAAGCUACAGACAACAAACACAAUUGCAUUUAUCAAUGGCAAUUUGAAUGCACAGAGAUACCGUGACGAGAUCCUGAGGCCCAUUGUUGUGCCAUUCAUCAGCCGCCAUCACCUCAUAUUGCACGGCCCCAUGUCACAAGAAUCUAUACACAAUUCCUAGAAGCUGAAAAUAUCCGAGUUCUGGCAUGGCCUCUAUACCAGACAUGUCACCUAUUGAGCAUGUUUGGUAUGCUCUGGAUCGACGUGUACGACAGGGUGUUCCAGUUCCCACCAAUAUCCAGAAACGUGGCAGAGCCAUUGAAGAGGAGUAGGACAACAUUCCACAGGCCACAAUCAACAGCCUGAUCAUCUCUAUGCGAAGGAGAUGUGUUGCACUGCAUGAUGCAAAUGGUGGUCACACCAGAUACUGACUGGUUUUCUGAUCCACGACCCUACCUUUUUUAAAGGUAUCUGUGACCAACAGAUGGAUAUCUGUAUUCCCAGUCCUGAAAUCCAUAGAUUAGAGACUAAUGAUAUUUUUUAAAUUGACUGAUUUCCUUAUAAUGAACUGUAACUCAGUAAAAUCUUUGAAAUUGUUGCAUGUUGCGUUUAUAUUUUUGUUCAGUAUAGAUAACUACUGCCCUAUCUCAAAACGUUCUUACCUAGCUAAAAUAUGAAGCUACUGUAAGAUCUUUCAUAUAUAGGAAUUGUAUUCAGUCGGUCUUCAGACCAGGUCAUAGCACUGUGUAUUCUGUUGUCCAGGCUCUAUCUAAACUGCAGUCUACUUUAAUUGUUUUACAGAAAAACGUUAUUGACCUGAAAUGAGUAUUGAAUGCGGAUAAAACAAAGUAUAUGUUGUUUUCUAGAGCACAUGAUUUAAACAUAUGUACCUUGGAUGGUGCCCACAUUGAUCGUGUCCCUGCUUACAAAUAUCUGGCCAUUUGGAUAAACAAUAAGCUGUCUUUUAAAAAGCAUAUUGAUGAGUUAACUAAGAAGUUGAGAAUAAAAAUGUAUAAAGCCCUUUUGCAAAAACUCCCACACUACCUGACAUCUUUACUUAGGCAUGGAAGUACGAGUUACCAUACUCGAUCACAUGGAUGGCUAACUGUGGAAAUUCCAUCUGUUGCUCCGAAAAAACAGCUGUUCGUUUCUUUGCACCCCAUGUGUGGAACAAUCUUCAGAGUUCCCUACAAAAGAUGUAUUGGUGCCUUUCAGGCAUUUCAGUGUUUAAUGAGGACCUCUUUGCUGAGGAAUGUGAUCGUUUUUCAUGAGUGUACUUUAUUUUAUUGUUUUCUCUUUGUAUUUAUUUUCUGGUGUAUUUCCUAUGUGUCAUUUGUUGUGUAAUUGUAAGAUGCAGGGCUCCCUUGCAAAAGAGACCUUGAUCUCAGUGGGACUCCCUGUCAAAAUAAAGGAUGAGAUGUGUAUUUAUUUCAUCUGUGUGGUAGAUGAGAUGUGUUAUUGUUUAGUGUUGUUUUGUUAAUGACACUAAUUAGUUCAGUUCCCGUCUGCUGCUGCUCUGAACAGCCAAUCAGAAGUCCCGCUGUGAGAUCGUCAGCUAGAGGCUAGAGGUAAUGGCUGCUGUGUGUAUGUAGAAGUGACAGGGCCGUUCUCUUUAUAUCACGUAUCAGCAUGUCUUAUUACGUGGCAUCAUGUCUAUUUAUGAGUGCCUUUUAAUCACAUGUGCUGUUGUUUACAACGAUUAUCUUUCACUUAAUUCCUUACAUUCUUACGUGUGAAAUUGAAUUAAUUAAAUCACAUGGACUAUUUUGCUUGCUUGUACGGUGUGUUGUGAUUCCACCAAUUGGCAUGGACUAAAGUGACAUUGAGAAUGUUGCCAAUUCCCUAUCCCCUCCUCCCUCCCAAAACGAAUUGCUAAACACGCCCCAGAACUAGAGUCAGAAGGAAGUGGAAUGUGUCUUCAGCACGCCAUUCAGACCGGGGACCUCUCGACCGACAACAUCCACCUCAUUGCUGCUGAUUGCUGCUCCUCUCCACUGUUCACCUGCUGUGGGAAGAAGACACUACUCAUACAAGGCUCUCUAUAGCACUCCUAAAGGAAAGGGAUUGUUUAGAGUAGGACUCUAAUUGUUGCCAGUAGUUGCUCUAAUUGUAUGUUAUGCGACUACAGACACAGGGGACACGCCCACACAGCUGUGAGAGGUUACACCCAACGCUACAACCCAGCAGGCCCGGCGUAGAGCGAGAGAUAACCCAGCAGGCCCGGGGUAGAGCGAGAGAUAACCCAGCAGGCCCGGCGUAGAGCGAGAGAUAACCCAGCAGGCCCGGCGUAGAGGGAGAGAUAACACAGCAGGCCCGGCAUAGAGCGAGAGAUAACCCAGCAGGCCCGGCGUAGAGCGAGAGAUAACCCAGCAGGCCCGGCGUAGAGCGAGAGAUAACCCAGCAGGCCCGACGUAGAGCGAGAGAUAACCCAGCAGGCCCAGCGUAGAGCGAGAGAUAACCCAGCAGGCCCGGCGUAGAGCGAGAGACAGCCGGGGAAAGCAGCCACCGACCACCGAACCUGCUAUUGAUGAGCCAUCCACUACCGGACCAGCCAUCCACUACAGAACCAGCCAUUCACUACCGGAUCAGCCAUCCACUACUGGACCAGCCAUCCACUACCGGACCAGCCAUCCAUUACCGGACCAGCCAUCCACUACCGGACCAGCCAUCCACUACCAGACCAGCCAUCCACUACCGGACCAGCAAUCCACUACCGGACCAGCCAUCCAUUACCAGACCAGCCAUCCACUACCGGACCAGCCAUCCAUUACUGGACCAGCCAUCCAUUACCGGACCAGCCAUCCACUACCGGACCAGCCAUCCAUUACCGGACCAGCCAUCCAUUAUCAGACUAGCCAUCCACUACUGGACCAGCCAUCCAUUACCGGACCAGCCAUCCACUACCGGACCAGCCAUCCACUACCGGACCAGCCAUCCAUUACCGGACCAGCCAUCCACUACCGGACCAGCCAUCCACUACCGGACCAGCAAUCCACUACAAGACCAGCCAUCCAUUACCGGACCAGCCAUCCACUACCGGACCAGCCAUCCAUUACCGGACCAGCCAUCCACUACCGGACCAGCCAUCCACUACCGGACCAGCCAUCCACUACCGGACCAGCCAUCCACUACAAGACCAGCCAUCCACUACCGGACCAGCCAUCCACUACCGGACCAGCCAUCCACUACCGGACCAGCCAUCCACUACAAGACCAGCCAUCCACUACCGGACCAGCAAUCCACUACAAGACCAGCCAUCCAUUACCGGACCAGCCAUCCACUACCGGACCAGCCAUCCACUACCGGACCAGCAAUCCAUUACCGGACCAGCCAUCCAUUACCGGACCAGCCAUCCAUUACCGGACCAGCCAUCCAUUACCGGACUAGCCAUCCACUAACAACUCCUGGUCGGGUUGAAGAGCUGAACGACGUGUGAGUGAGUACCAAUGGUCUCCAGUAUGAUGAUGUUACUGAUGAAGCUUUCUCCACCCUUUCCAGAUGUGGCCUGCUACGACAAGACUGCUGAGGCCAGGACUACCGCAUCAGAACCUCAUGAUGCCAACACCGAAGCGACGAACGCUCCAUGCUAAACAACUAUGGACUCUAGCUGGUAUGUGGUGUGAGUUUGCCCCGGCCUGUCCUUGUGUUUUGUUCUGUGUUGCUUUUAUCCUGUAACACACUAUAAAUAUUAAUAAAAGAGAAAAUAAAGAUAUUAAAGAACUCUAGACACUGACUGUCUGCCUCCUGCCUAUGUCUGUAGUAUUGGGAUUGAAUUUUUUUUUGUGUGUGUGUGUGUGUGUGUGGUGUGCUUUCAUAAAUGCCUUGCAUAUAGUUAUGAAAUACAAUAUAAUGGUUUUAUAUAGCCGGACUGAUAUUUAUUUAAUCAUUCAUUACUUCAUUAACUGUCUGAGAAGUCUCUCUAGCAAUAUGAAAAACAAUAUGGUCCAUUCUGACUGAGUCACACAUUCAUGACCUGUCUAUCAUGAGAGAGAGGAGGCAAGGAGGGAGAGAGAGAAGUAGGGGGGAAGGGUGUGUGAAGAGAGGGGAGAAGGAGAGGGGGGGAGAGGGAGAGUCCAGUAUGUUGAAGCAGGUCUGGUCCAGGUGGGGUUUAGUCAGUCAGUGUGUUAUUUUAG
rnacentral:lncRNA from 1 species